rnacentral:sRNA from 1 species
GCCGAAUCUACUGCGUGCAGCCAUGAAA